AGUCGAACGAAGCUCAUAUGUAGAAUUUCUUCGGAAGGGAAACGCCUGUGACUGAGUGGCGGACGGGUGAUUAACCCUUGGGCAACCUGCCCCAUACCGGGGGACAACAGCUGGAAACGGCUGCUAAUACCGCAUACCUUUUCGGUGCCGCAUGGCGCCCAAGACAAAACUCCGGUGGUAUGGGAUGGCCCCCCGUCUGAUUAUCUAGUUGGGAGGGUAACGGCCUACCAAAGCGACAAUCAGUACCCGGCCUGAAAGGGCGACCGGCCCCAUUGGGACUGAGACACGGCCCAGACUCCUGCGGGAGGCAGCAGUCGCGCAAUAUUGCACAAUGGGGGAAACCCUGAUGCAGCGACGCCGCGUGAGCGACGAAGUGCCUCGGUCUGUAAAGCUCUAUCUGCAGGGAAGAAAGUG
rnacentral:rRNA from 1 species